GACCCUGGCCCGGCAGCGCCCCCAGCAGGCCGUUGGCCGUGGUGAACAGGUUGAUGGGGGACGACCCGUCUGUGAUGAGGGUGGACUUCAGCCCCAGAGCCUGAAGCAUUUUCACCUGGGAGGACGGAGAAAACAGACGCGGCAGCAGCAGGUCAGUACCUGCAGCUCGGGUCCGGCUCUGGCGAUCUCCUUCAGCGUGUCGCUGCCCAGACUCUGCACCAGCUGACUGAAGCGGUCGCUCUCGAUCUGAGCCAGACGCUUCUGCUUAUCCACCUCCAGAGCGUCCAUCUCCUUCUUAUAGUUCAGCUCCUGCUCACGAGCCUUCGCCAGCCGCUGAAGCUCCGCCUCCUGCACACACACACACACACACACACACACACACAGUUAAUGACAUAAUAAAGUGGUGGAAAGUAAGUAUAAUUACUUUACUUGUGUAUUUUCCAUUUUCUGCAACUUUAUACUUAAUCACUUAUCAUUAUUACAUUAUUUUCACUUAUGUUUUAUUGUUUGAUUAUAAAUAAUCACUACUUUACGUCGUAUUAUUAUUGGUAUCCCUGAUUAUAUAUAUUAUUUUACUUCUCUAAAGCACUUUGUGACUUGCUCUGUUAAAGGCACCAUGUUAAAAAUACUCUAUUUACUUACUUCCUUUAAUGUAUCACUAAUUAAAAUCCAAUAAUAUAAUAUAUAUUAUUAUGAAAUGGGCUAUUCUGCACAGUGAGUACUUUUUACUUUAGGUAUAUUUUUAGGUAUUUAUACUUUUCACAUAAGAUACUGGACUUGUAACAAAGUAUUUCUACAUGGAUUUGAGUACUACUUCCACCGCUGCUGUGUAGUGAGUUUUAUGCUGAAAGGGGAAACAGGAUGUCGGGACGUACCGCCUCGAUCCUCUGAGCUUCAGCCUUCAGUUUGGCCUCGUUCACCGCCGCCUCUCCCUGAAUACGAGCCGCCUCCGCCCGGGACUGAGCUUCAGCCUUGGCCGCUCCUGUACUCUCCACCGCAGCACUGAAACACACGCAGAGGGGUUAAUAACAACGGUGCAACAGUUAACCCAGUGACCCUGCGGUUACCUGAGCGCCUCCAGCUCCAGCAGAUCCUUCCUGGCCUUCUCAGCCUCGGCCUGGUCGGUGAUCCUCUGCCUCUCCAGCUUGCCCCGAGCCUCCUGCUCCAGACGCUCUGCCUCGUGC